GUAAAUGCUAACUAAGGCAACAAAGAGUAUGCAAACCAGGUAUUGGAAAACGUUUAGUCAGAAUUGUUGGUUAGUAGGCUAUUUGUGAUGUCAUUACGCGCUGUUUGCAUCAGGGGCGUAGACAUGGAUGAGCCUUGGUGGACAGAGGCCCACCCACUGGGGAGCCGGUCCCUGACAGGCCCACCCACUGGAGAGCCGGGCCCUGACAGGCCCACCCACUGGGGAGCCGGGCCCUGACAGGCCCACCCACUGGGGAGCCGGGCCCUGACAGGCCCACCCACUGGAGAGCCGGGCCCUGACAGGCCCACCCACUGGGGAGCCGGGCCCUGACAGGCCCACCCACUGGGGAGCCGGGCCCUGACAGACCCACCCAAUCAGAUUGAUGUGGUUUAAGCAUUGUUGUUGACUUCAACAAUCACGUUUAUAUUUUUUCUAUUUAAAAAAAGGUGUGAUUUUGAGAGUGAAAAUCUGAAAACAUAGGAAAGACACCACGUGUGAAAAAAAUCCUUCGCUGGACGGGAACUUUUUGGCAAAAUUAGAGUACACCCACUUCUCCAGGCACCACUACAUCACUGGAUAGGUCUAAUGGAAAGACAGCAGUCACACACAGCAUGAUAUUAAAGCACCACUACACCACUGCAUAGGGCUGAUGGAAAGACAGCAGUCACACACAGCAUGAUGUUAAAGCACCACUACACCACUGCAUAGGGCUGAUGGAAAGACAGCAGUCACACACAGCAUGAUGUUAAAGCACCACUACACCACUGCAUAGGGCUGAUGGAAAGACAGCAGUCACACACAGCAUGAUGUUAAAGCACCACUACACCACUGUAUAGGGCUGAUGGAAAGACAGCAGUCACACACAGCAUGAUGUUAAAGCACCACUACACAACUGUAUAGGUCUGAUGGAAAGACAGCAGUCACACACAGCAUGAUGUUAAAGCACCACUACACCACUGUACAGGUCUGAUGGAAAGACAGCAGUCACACACAGCACGAUGGUAAAGGAUAAGCAGUCCAUAAACUCUAAAAUAAUAAGCCAGUAGGUGCCAAUCAGAAGACUAAAAAACACAACCAUUAAGCAAUUCCCAAUCGAAAUUUACUACUACUACUUCCCUUUGCAAAAAAAACAUGUCACUUUUAGCACUCAAAAUUAACCUCUGACCUUAAAGUGGAACUGACAGUGUUAACUACUUUGCAGAUAUGAAACAAACAGACAAUCAUAAAUUCAGUCAAAAAUAUCAAAUUCCCAGUUUAUGCCACAUAACCAACUUCAUGAGAGGUUUUAAAAAUAGGUUCUAUUUGACUCGGCGUUACAUGACGUACACUAAGGCAUUGUUGGCAGAAUAGAUGGGUGCAGUUUAAUGCACGUAUAGUAUAAUUCACCAAUACAAAAAUAUUGUUAUCAGGUUGUAAAUCACAACUGCCCUGGUACAUUGUUUGCUGCCUCCAUUCCGGAUGCACGGUUUCAGUUUCAAUGACUCAAUAUUCUGGACAAAAACGGACGAAUGUAACUAAUGCUGGGAAUGUCAAUCCAAUCAAACUAGCAAGGGCAAUGAUCACAAGUCAAUCAUAAUGUGGCUAAUAGGCUAGCGUAUCUAUUUAUGUAGCAAGCUAAAAAUACAGAGCCUCGAGUUAGCUAGAUAGCUAGCUAGAUAUUUGCUAGGAGGAUGUCAUGCCAUUGGAGGAGUGGGUGAGUGACUACUUUUUCCCCUCAUAUUGUUUUUCGGUGGAUAUACACAGCUAGAGAUGCAACUUCAGCCAGUUAGCUUGGGUGCUUGAUUGGGACAAGCAUGCAUUGGCAGGCAAGCUGCAGAAGGACGUGGAGGCUACAAUUCCCCAUCGUUUAUCAGUGUAAUUUUGACGGCCAACUAGCUGAAAAAAGUUUGAUAGGGUUUAUCUAAUGUUCCUUCGUUAGAUUUUAGCUCAUCUUGCUCUGGCUAGCAUUAGUUGUUGAUCUGGUUGAUGUGCAUAACUGAGGGAGAGAGCCUACCUUCUCAUGGUUGUUUGAUCAAUAGGACUGUAAAGUUCCCAAAUGGAAGAGGACUCCUGUGGUAUUUACAUAUUUACAGAAAUCUAUUCAGGUGUAUUUUGUGGCUUUUGGCGAAUGGUUUCUAAUGAUCUAAUGUCUCGCUGUUGCAACAGUCUGUAAACACACAGUCCAGUUCAAAGUGAAUGAUGACAGGCCCUACUGCCUGUAAACACACAGUCCAGUUCAAAGUGAAUGAUGACAGGCCCAAUUACCUGUAAACACAGUCCAGUUCAAAGUGAAUGAUGACAGGUCCUACUGUCUGUAAACACACAGUCCAGUUCAAAGUGAAUGAUGACAGGCCCUACUGCCUCUAAACACACAGUCCAGUUCAAAGUGAAUGAUUCUGGACAAGACAGAUGGUUUUAUUCGGUUUUACUGCAGUGUCUAUUAAUUGUCCAAACACAUGGCCGCUUUCUCACUCUAUACUGCUAUAGAAAUUCCACAAAUGCAUUAGUAUACAUAAUUCCCAAACAUUCUAAGAAUUCAUGAAAACGUGGAAAUGACCAUAUCUAAGUGGUCGAUUGUCAGAUUAUUUUUUUUAAGUGUCAUUCUUCCUGGGGGUGUACAUGAACAGAUUUUAAUAAGAUUUCAUGAUGCUAAAAUGCUGUCAGUUCCACUUAAAACGCAACAACGUUUCACACACACAAGUUAUUUUCAAAGAGACGGCUAACAACAGGCGCUGCAAUAACAAACACAGUUCCACUCACAAGAUGAUGAUCAUUUGAAACUUAACUUGUUAAAAGUUAUUCUUGAAAAGGGAGAAGCUAACAAAUUAGCAACAACAUCUUCUUUGAUAACAGCUGCUGCAGCCCCUGCAAACUAGCUGACAACAAAAGCUAGCUAGCUAGCUAGACUGUGGGAAAACUACUGUUCGCAAUUGCGCAGUGACAUGUUGUUUCCAUACGUUUUUGUAAAAACGGUCCCACUCAUUAAGUCAAAAUGUGAUUGGUUGAUUCCACUGUCACUCCAAAAUGUUUCCCUAAUACAGUUGAAUGGCAGACGCCUUUAUCUUGCUUCUGAUGGGCUAGCCAAUCGCUGACUUAGCUAACUAGAUAUUUCUCCCCAGAGAUAAAUCCAUUCCUUUCCAACAAAAAUGGAUGAUAUUUCUUACCUUUAUUUAGUCAGUUAAGAACAAAUUCUUAUUUUCAAUGACGGCCUAGGAACAGUGGAUUAACUGCCAUGUUCAGAACAACAGUUUUUUUACCUUGUCAGCUCAGGGAUUUGAUCUUGCAACCUUUCGGUUACUAGUCCAACACUCUAACCACUAGGCUACCUGCCGCCCCAGAUUAAAUCAGAACAUCAUUGAAAAUAAUAAUAUCAUUAUCAUUAUUAUAAUCCUUAUUUUAUUCAUCCUUAGCCCUUCUCUGAAUGCGUAGAAGGCCCAUUGUUCCCCACUGUGUUUGGGUUAGUAAACAUUUGUAGAGUGGCUCGAUUUGCUCCGGUCUUGGUCUUCAAUUGAUCUCACUUUAAGUGGUCUCGAACACAACAUUAAUUUUAGGUGACUUUUAACCCUAACCCUUUUCCUAACCUUAACCUAAUUCUCCUAACUUGCUAUGUUAAUUCUCCUAACUUGCUACGUAAGUUAUCCUAACCUUGCUACGAAAGGUUUGCUGUACUCCAUCUAGUCAAAACCGGCAAUACUGCCUGCAGAACAGUGUGAGUUUCCAAUAACGCGGUACUCUGCACGACAACUCGUCACCACCAUCAUUCAGAAUCCACCGUUAUAAUACCUAGUGCUAACAUGUCAUGUGUCCUGAUAUUGUCCACAUUCGGAUUGUGAUAUUUUAUGAAAAGUGUAUGGCAUUAAAAUGUCUUAUCCGCCCACUGUCCGCAUUGUGACCUCAUUUCCUGGUCCCUCCCUGUCUGAAAAUUAUUUCACAGCUAAUAUUGAUGUAUUUAUGUUAAGAUACAAAUUGAUGGCAUAAGUCAAUGGGGCCACCUGUCAAUGAUUUUAGAGUGUGGGAUAAGGGUGAUGUAAAUGGCUUCACUUCACUGUACAGAUCUAAACUUGUAAGAAGAUAUCCAGACACAAUGGGUCCCUGGAUAGAGCCGGAGGUGGUCAGACUGACCAGGUGAAAGCGAUGAUCCCUUAUUGAUGUCACCUGUUAAAUUCACUUCAAAUCAGUGUAGAUGAAGGGGAGGAGACAGUUGAGACAUGGAUUGUGUAUGUGUGUCAUUCAGAGGGUGAAUGGACAAGACAAAAUAUAUAAGUGCCUUUGAACGGAGUAUGGUAGUAGGUGCCAGGAGCACCGGUUUGAGUGUGUCAAGAACUGCAACGCUGCUGGGUUUUUCACGUUCAACAGUUUCCCGUGUGUAUCAAGAAUGGUCCACCACCCAAAGGCCAUCCAGCUAACUUGACAGAACUGUGGGAAGCAUUGGAGUCAACAUGGGCCAGCAUCCCUGUGGAAUGCUUUUGACACCUUGUAGAGUCCAUGCUCCGAUGAAUUGAGUCUGUUCUGAGUGGAAAAGGGGAUGCAACUCAAUAUUAGGAAGGUGUCCCUAAUGUUUUGUACACUCAGCGUAUUUUGAGUUCUGAUGGGGUAGGACAGUUGAACUAAGACAAUGAGGCGUCUAUAAGUUCUAUUCUUCAAGAAUCAAUGGGUAUACAUCAUCAAUAUUUAGAGUGAUGCAUCAACUGCAGAUUGUCCCUUCAAGAUGUGGUCUGGGUAUGAACUGAAUCCUACUGUUAGCAUAAAAAAAGGUUUGAAGAUAGGAAAAAGUAUUUGAACAACAAG
rnacentral:lncRNA from 1 species